CUCUCUCUCUCUCCAGCUAUCCCUCUCUCUCAUCCGACUCCUUCUCUCUCCGGACGUCGCCGCACCACCGCCGCCACGACGCCACAGUCGCCGGAACCCCAAUCCUCACCAAAAUUUCUAGAUUUUCUCCUUUUCAUUCCCUCUUCCUAUUUCUCCAAUCAAAAUCAUGAACUUUGGCCAUUCAAUCCUCCAAAAACCCUAGAACCCAAAGCCAAUUUGGGGCUUUUUGUGAUUUCUUCAUUCGAGGUUCAAAUCAAGGCUACGGGUUUGGUAAGGAUUUGUGGUGAAGAAGGCCAAGGAGGAGAAAUAGGCCAUGAGUUUUGAAGAAGAAAGGGUUACAACGAGGUCACUCCAGAAGAUCUAGACUAGAAGUGGGUCGUUGGCUGAGUCCGUGUGUUGCUGUCCCUGUUGCUUGAAGUUCUUCCCUUUUGGUACUCUAUUGAUUUACUCGCUUUUCUUUCAAUGUUGAACUCUGUGAGGUUCGCCUAUCUGGGAGCGCGCCUCACCCUUUGUUUUAUUGUUGUUGUUGAACUCUUCUGAUUUCGGUUAUGA